rnacentral:rRNA from 1 species
GAUGAACGCUAGCGGGAGGCUUAACACAUGCAAGUCGAGGGGCAGCAUAGGGUAGCAAUACUCUGAUGGCGACCGGCAAACGGGUGAGUAACGCGUAUGCAACCUACCCUGUACAGGGGGAUAACCCGGAGAAAUUCGGACUAAUAUCCCGUAAUAAUAUCCGGAGGCAUCUUUGGAUAUUUAAAGUUCCGACGGUACGGGAUGGGCAUGCGUAACAUUAACUGGUUGGUAAGGUAACGGCUUACCAAGGCUAUGAUGUUUAGGGGUCCUGAGAGGGUGGUCCCCCACACUGGUACUGAGACACGGACCAGACUCCUACGGGAGGCAGCAGUGAGGAAUAUUGGUCAAUGGGCGCAAGCCUGAACCAGCCAAUCCCGCGUGCAGGAAGACGGCCCUAUGGGUUGUAAACUGCUUUUCCAGGGAGAGAAACUUACGCACGUGUUGCGUGACUGACGGUACCCUGGGAAUAAGCAUCGGCUAACUCCGUG